rnacentral:rRNA from 1 species
GAGCGCUGCGCUNAUUAUUAUCAAGCUUGCUUCUAAUGACCUAGCGGCGGACGGGUGAGUAACACGUAGGCAACCUGCCCACAAGACAGGGAUAACUACCGGAAACGGUAGCUAAUACCCGAUACAUCCUUUUCCUGCAUGGGAGAAGGAGGAAAGACGGAGCAAUCUGUCACUUGUGGAUGGGCCUGCGGCGCAUUAGCUAGUUGGUGGGGUAAAGGCCUACCAAGGCGACGAUGCGUAGCCGACCUGAGAGGGUGAUCGGCCACACUGGGACUGAGACACGGCCCAGACUCCUACGGGAGGCAGCAGUAGGGAAUCUUCCGCAAUGGGCGAAAGCCUGACGGAGCAACGCCGCGUGAGUGAUGAAGGUUUUCGGAUCGUAAAGCUCUGUUGCCAGGGAAGAACGCUUGAGAGAGUAACUGCUCUCAAGGUGACGGUACCUGAAAAAAACGCCCCGGCUAACUACGUGCCACCAGCCCCGGUAAUACUUNGGGGCAAGCGUUGUCCGAAAUAUUGGGCGUANGCGCGCGCAGGCGCCUCUNAACUCUGGUGUUUAUCCCNGGCUNACUUCGNUCGNCUGAANCUGAAGAUCUUGAUUGCAAAAAGGAGAGUGCANUCCCGUGUACCGGUGAAUGCGUAGAAUGGGGAGAACACAGUGACAAAGCGAUUCUNGCCUGUACUGACGCUCAGCNCGAUGCGUGGNACAAACGGAUUACACCCCGUGUUCUCCCCCCNUAACGAUGAUGCCAGCUGUAGGGGUUCCACCCCCUGGUGCGAGUUAAACANAUUUUUCCGCUGCGGAAUAUGUCCCCGACUGAACCCACGGAUU